AACGAACGCUGGCGGCAGGCUUAACACAUGCAAGUCGAGCGCCCCGCAAGGGGCGCGGCAGACGGGUGAGUAACGCGUGGGAAUCUACCCAUCUCUACGGAAUAACGCAUGGAAACGUGUGCUAAUACCGUAUACGUCCUUCGGGAGAAAGAUUUAUCGGAGAUGGAUGAGCCCGCGUGGGAUUAGCUAUUUGGUGGGGUAAAGGCCUACCAAGGCGACGAUCCAUAGCUGGUCUGAAGGGAUGAUCAGGCACGCUGGGACUGAAACACGGCCCAGACUCCUACGGGAGGCAGCAGUGGGGAAUAUUGGACAAUGGGCGCAAGCCUGAUCCAGCCAUGCCGCGUGAGUGAUGAAGGCCCUAGGGUUGUAAAGCUCUUUCACCGGUGAAGAUAAUGACGGUGACCGGAGAAGAAGCCCCGGCUAACUUCGUGCCAGCAGCAGCCGCGGUAA
rnacentral:rRNA from 1 species